UCCCGGUUGGCCCGGGCAGUCUCGCAUGAAAAAUACAACUAUUCACAAGGGUUGCGCUCGUUGAUGGACUUAACCAAACAUCUCACGACACGAGCUGACGACGGCCAUGCAUCACCUGUCAUUUGGUUCAAUAAAGCACUCUCUGCUUUCACAGAAAUUCCAAGGAUGUCAAACCCUGGUAAGGUUCAUCGGUUAUCAUCGAAUUAAAGAACAUAAUCCACCGCUUGUGCGGCUCCCCGUCAAUUCCUUUAUGUUUUAGUCUUGCGAUCGUACUCCACAGGCGGGAUACUUAACGCGUUAGCUUCGCUACUGAAGGGGUCGAUACCUCCAACAGCUAGUAUCCAUCGUUUACGGCGUGGACUAC
rnacentral:misc_RNA from 1 species